rnacentral:rRNA from 1 species
CCUGUACAAACAAAUAGCUGAUGGAGUGACGGAGAAGGUUAAUGCAUCCCCAUUAUCGGAUUUGGGGUUAAAUAAGAAGUCUUAAGGGUUGGCAAAUCCGCCYUUUUUAAGGACAACUUAUGAAUACGAGCGAACGCUUUGCAAGUAGCGAAGAUGCAUAUAUCACGCUUCCAAGAAAAGCUUCUAGGGUUAACUAUUUGUUUCCAGUACCGAGAACGAACACACGUGGUCAAGGAGAAGAUCCUAAGGUUAGCGAGUGAACUAUAGCUAAGGAACUCUGCAAAUUCAUCCCGUAAGUUCGCGAGAAGGGAUGCUCAAUGUAAAAGUUGAGCCGCAGUGAAGAACGAGGGGGGACUGUUUAACUAAAACACAGCUCUAUGCUAAAUCGCAAGAUGAUGUAUAUGGGGUGACACCUGCCCAGUGCUGGAAGGUUAAAGAAGGGUGUUAG